CGGCUGCCCCGCCGCCAAUCGCCAGCCGCCUUACAGCGCGGCCUGCCCGCCACCCACCAAUCGGAGCGCGGCGCUCACAGGGGCGCGGCGAGCCUCGCUAUCCGCGGCCACGCGCGGGAAGCCUUUGGGCCCGCGGAGCUGCCGUAGCUGCCCCUCGGUAAGGAGCCGGGGAGGGGCGGAGUGGUUACGUGGGCCCGCCUUGGGGCGGCCUCAGUGGGUGCGGUUCCCGGCGGCGGGGCGAUCCGGGUGCUGAAGCGGGUCGUGCGCGCCUUUCCUGCGGGCUUGUCCUCUGAGCGAGCGCUCUGAGGGCGGUUGGGCGUUUCGAUUCCGCAGCUGUGGGGUUCUUCGUCUUGUGACGUUGGGGCGGCUGUAUGAAGGAGCUCGGGCAGUGCGGGGCUCUGCUGAGCCUCGAGCGUGAGGCGUUCGGGAGAGCCAAAAAAAAAUCAUCCCAUUGAGAAAGCCAGAGCACUUCUGUACAGCUAUGUUGUAAUCUGCAGGACCUACACAUCUCUUCACCUUAACUCUUGACUGGAAGAACUCAGAGUCUUCUUAGAGUCUCCAAAUUAUAUGAGAGUGCAUAUACAAAAGUAUGUGAGUGAGUGCAUAUACAAAAGAUGAUUCCCACAUCCAAGGAAUGCCUCUUCCAUCUGUUGCCUGGUAAGAUUCCCCCAUCCCCAAAUGGUAAUAAUAAAAAAAUCUCUUAUUUUACAUAAUGCAAAGGCAGAGUGAGGUUUCCUCCACAGGUUUCAAAAGAAGAUCCAAAUCCGUAAGAGCUUUGGCUUAGUCAUACUACAGACUCUCCGGAUGCAAGUGAUCAGAAAAUCUGUGGUAAGAAUAAAUAAAUGUAUGUGGGAUACUCUGUUUUAACAAAGCCUCUUAAUUGAAUAUGUCUGUUUGGUGAGUACGUUAAAAUAAUUAAAAAGGUGAACUGAUGUACUGAGUCUACAUAGCAGAGCAUCAUCUGGCCCAAAGCAUAUUUCAGCAGAGCUGUAGAAAAGCAGAGCACAUGCUUUGUGCUAUUUUACCAGCUUGUUCUCUUCGUGUAUAGCAAGUGAGGCUCAGGGUCAUCUUGAUUCAGAGGCUGUACCUUUCUUUUUUAAUAGUUUCAUUUUUUCUUCUGUGAGUUUGUCUCUAGCUUCUUAAAUGCAUGCAAAUUUUUGAUAUCCAUAACUGCUUGUGAGAGUAUAUUUCCUGACUUAGCCCUCAGUUGCACAUUGUUUGCUUGUUUGUUUUGAACUGGGAUUUUUAUAACUUAAUUUCAUGCCUUUUAACUUUCUCUCUCUUCCCU